UACCGCGUGUGUGAAGAAGGCCUGAGGGUUGUAAAGCACUUUCAAUAGGGAGGAAAAAGCGUUGGUUAAUAGCUGAUGCCUUGACAUUACCUAUAGAAGAAGCACCGGCUAACUCCGUGCCAGCAGCCGCGGUAAUACGGAGGGUGCGAGCGUUAAUCGGAAUUACUGGGCGUAAAGCGUGCGUAGGCGGCUGUUUAAGUCAGAUGUGAAAGCCCCGGGCUUAACCUGGGAACGGCAUUUGAUACUGGGCAGCUAGAGUUUAGGAGAGGAGAGUGGAAUUUCCGGUGUAGCGGUGAAAUGCGUAGAGAUCGGAAGGAACACCAGUGGCGAAGGCGGCUCUCUGGCCUAAAACUGACGCUGAGGUACGAAAGCGUGGGUAGCAAACAGGAUUAGAUACCCUGGUAGUCCACGCCGUAAACGAUGUCAACUAGCCGUUGGGUCUUUAUUAAGACUUAGUGGUGCAGCUAACGCAUUAAGUUGACCGCCUGGGGAGUACGGCCGCAAGGUUAAAACUCAAAUGAAUUGACGGGGGCCCGCACAAGCGGUGGAGCAUGUGGUUUAAUUCGAUGCAACGCGAAGAACCUUACCUACCCUUGACAUCCAGAGAAUCUGUGAGAGAUCGU
rnacentral:rRNA from 1 species